rnacentral:rRNA from 1 species
UGAUCUAGCCAUGCCGCGUGAGUGAUGAAGGCCUUAGGGUCGUAAAGCUCUUUCGCCUGUGAUGAUAAUGACAGUAGCAGGUAAAGAAACCCCGGCUAACUCCGUGCCAGCAGCCGCGGUAAUACGGAGGGGGUUAGCGUUGUUCGGAAUUACUGGGCGUAAAGCGCGCGUAGGCGGAUUAGAAAGUUGGGGGUGAAAUCCCGGGGCUCAACCCCGGAACUGCCUCCAAAACUGCUAGUCUAGAGUUCGAGAGAGGUGAGUGGAAUUCCGAGUGUAGAGGUGAAAUUCGUAGAUAUUCGGAGGAACACCAGUGGCGAAGGCGGCUCACUGGCUCGAUACUGACGCUGAGGUGCGAAAGUGUGGGGAGCAAACAGGAUUAGAUACCCUGGUAGUCCACACCGUAAACGAUGAAUGCCAGUCGUCGGGUAGUAUACUAUUCGGUGACACACCUAACGGAUUAAGCAUUCCGCCUGGGGAGUACGGUCGCAAGAUUAAAACU